GACGAACGCUGGCGGCGUGCCUAAUACAUGCAAGUAGGAAGCAGAUGCGAACGGGUGAGUAACGCGUAGGUAACUACCUAUUAGAGGGGGAUAACCAUGGGAAACGAUAGCUAAUACCGCAUACUAGUAGAUGGACCUGCGUUGUAUUAGCUAGUAGGUAGGGGAAUGGCCUAACUAGGCAACGAUACAGAGCCGACCUGUGAGGGUGAUCGGCCACACUGGGACUGGGACCCGGCUCAGACUCCUACGGGAGGCAGCAGUAGGGAAGCUUCGGCAAUUGGGGGAACCCUGACCAAGCAACGCCGCGUGAGUGAAUAAGGUUUUCGGAUCGUAAAGCUCUGUUGUUAAUGAAGCGGUACUUAACCAGAAAGGGACGGCUAACUACGUGCCAGCAGCCGCGGUAAUAC
rnacentral:rRNA from 1 species